rnacentral:rRNA from 1 species
GAUGAACGCUAGCUACAGGCUUAACACAUGCAAGUCGAGGGGUAACGAGAGGAAAGCUUGCUUUCCUUGUCGACGACCGGCGCACGGGUGAGUAACGCGUAUCCAACCUGCCCCCAACUAGGGAAUAACCUUGCGAAGGUAAGACUAAUACCCUAUAAUUUCCUCAGAUGACAUCUGACGAGGAAUAAAGAUUUAUCGGUUGUGGAUGGGGAUGCGUCUGAUUAGCUUGUUGGCGGGGUAACGGCCCACCAAGGCAACGAUCAGUAGGGGUUCUGAGGGGAAGGUCCACCACAUUGGAACGGAGACACGGUCCAAACUCCUACGGGAGGCAGCAGUGAGGAAUAUUGGUCAAUGGGCGGAAGCCUGAACCAGCCAAGUAGCGUGCAGGAUGACGGCCCUAUGGGUUGUAAACUGCUUUUAUACAGGAAUAAAGUUAGCCACGUGUGGUUAUUUGUAGGUACUGUAUGAAUAAGGACCGGCUAAUUCCGUGCCAGCAGCCGCCGUAA